rnacentral:rRNA from 1 species
GACGAACGCUGGCGGCGUGCCUAAUACAUGCAAGUAGAACGCACAGUUUAUACCGCAGCUUGCUACACCAUAGACUGUGAGUUGCGAACGGGUGAGUAACGCGUAGGUAACCUGCCUGGUAGCGGGGGAUAACUAUUGGAAACGAUAGCUAAUACCGCAUAAUAUUGAUUAUUGCAUGAUAAUUGAUUGAAAGAUGCUAUUGCAUCACUACCAGAUGGACCUGCGUUGUAUUAGCUAGUAGGUGAGGUAACGGCUCACCUAGGCGACGAUACAUAGCCGACCUGAGAGGGUGAUCGGCCACACUGGGACUGAGACACGGCCCAGACUCCUACGGGAGGCAGCAGUAGGGAAUCUUCGGCAAUGGACGAAAGUCUGACCGAGCAACGCCGCGUGAGUGAAGAAGGUUUUCGGAUCGUAAAGCUCUGUUGUAAGAGAAGAACGGGUGUGAGAGUGGAAAGUUCACACUGUGACGGUAUCUUACCAGAAAGGGACGGCUAACUACGU